CAUUUCCAUCUCUCGGGCCAUCUCCCAUCCGAUCCUGCAUCCAUCGCUCGCGAGGGUCUCGAGGGAUCCCGAAUCGUCGAGUGUAUCCGACACUUCCCAAGCUCUUCUCUCCUCCGGGUAUAGGGUUUCGUUCAAGAAUGGCUCCUCCAGUGGGUUCUUGGAAGGGAUCGAGCGGCGGGAGCCUGAGCUUCUCCGGGUUCCUCGCAUCAGGGAGGGUGGUUCUUGGAAGAGAACGAAUCGUCGCGCCCGAUGGGGUUUUUGGUUCCUAUGCAUCGCAACUUCCUCUGUUCCCGCUAAUGUUUCGUUCAUGAACGGCGCUUCCGACGAGUUCUUGGAAGAGAACGAGCCACGGAGCCGGAGUUCGAACCCGACCAGGUUCUUGGAAGAGGUUUCAUUUCCAAAUCCCCGAGAGGAUCUCGGAUUCCUGCGCUUCCUAAACUUUUAUUUCCUCUCUCAAGGGUUUCGUUCAAGAACGGUGCCUCCAGCGAGUUCUUGGAGGAGGUUUAAGGUGUUCUUUAAUGAGUUUUUGGAAGAUAACUACCCGCGAAGCCGGAGUUUCUUUAAUCUACGUAUGUUCUUUAAAGAAGCCGGAGUUUCCUUUUCUUUGGCUGGCCUUGCCCUCUGCAAUGCCGAUCACAUGGUGAUGUCUGUGGCCAUCGUUCUGCUCUCCAGAGCCCAUGGCAUCGUUCAGGAGAAAAAUGCUCUUCUGGGAAUGGAGAUUUGGGAAGACUGAUAUGGCUUAUGUAAGCAACAUAUCUCUAAGAAGGGCCAAGAAGAGGUUUCUGAAGAUUGGCUUGAGGGGGAGUCAGCAUGGCUUGGUUCGGUCCCGGGUGCGCGAGAUCAUCCACGUCAUCGUUCGGGUGACGAGGAUGGUUGUCAGGUGAGGUCAGGCUUUGGCUCCGGCUCCAAAGUCGGGAAACCCCCCCCCCCUUUGGAUGGUUGUCUGCCUCUCCGUUGUUGGUCCUUGUACACAGGUCGGGGUCGGUAAAGAGGCUCCAAAUUUCGACUCCUUUGAAGACUAUGCGGGGUGUUCUUCGUGUCAUGGCAUCGAACGAUAGUGUCGUACUCGGUGUCGUCCCGAUCUUUACGGGAUGACGUGAUACUUGGUUGGCGCCGUCUCGAUCUUCACGGGAUGACAUUGUACUUGGACGACAGUGUUGCACUCGGUUGGCGCUGUGUACCAGAUCGGCACUGUCCUGAUCUUCGCGGGACGACGUUGUACUCAGUCGGCGCGGUCCCGACUUUUGCGAGACGGCGUUGUACUCUGUUGGCGCUAUCUCGACUCUUGCGGGACGACAUUGUACUUGGUCGGCGUCAUCCCGACUCUUACGGAAUGGCGUCGUACUUGGUUGGCUCCGUCUUGACUUUUAGGGAACGGAGUUGGGGGGGGGUGUGAUCUGGUACGUUGAUCUUGACAUUGAGGUGGCUGUGACUAGUGACAAGAGGACAAAUUACCGAAUGCACUAUCAGUACUUAAAACUGCACAUAUGAUAUAUGCUUUCUGGGGCUUUAGGCUUUUAUGUGGAAACGUUAAUAUUUGUUUAACAUUACAACACGAUUUGUUUAACAUUACAACUUUAAAGGGUUUUGGUGUC